UAGUAACGGCGAGUGAAGAGGAAAGAGCUCAAAGUUGGAACCUGUUUGGCUUAGCUAAACCGGAUUGUAAACUGUAGAAGUGUUUUCCAGACACGCCUGGUAAAAAAGUCCUUUGGAACAGGGCAUCAUAGAGGGUGAGAAUCCCGUCAUUGGCCAGAGCUGUUGUCUUUUGUGAUACAUUUUCAAAGAGUCAGGUUGUUUGGGAAUGCAGCCUAAAUUGGGUGGUAAAUCUCACCUAAAGCUAAAUAUUUGCGAGAGACCGAUAGCGAACAAGUACCGUGAGGGAAAGAUGAAAAGAACUUUGAAAAGAGAGUUAAACAGUAUGUGAAAUUGUUAAAAGGGAACCGUUUGGAGCCAGACUGGCUUGAUCGUAAUCACUCUAGGCUUUGGCCUGGAUGCACUUGCGGUCUAUGCCGGCCAACGACAGUUUUGUUUGAGGGAAAAAAUUACAUUGAAUGUGGCCCCUCGGGGUGUUAUAGCUUUGUAAAAAAUACCUUGGACGGGACUGAGGAACGCAGCGAAUGCCUUUAGGCGAGAUUGCUGGGUGCUUGCGCUGAUACAUGCUAGAAUUUCUGCUUUGGGUGGUGCUAGUGUGUAAAGGAGUAACCCGCUUAGUAUAUUUUUUAUUCGCUUAGGUUGUUGGCUUAAUGACUCUAAAUGACCCGUCUUGAAACACGGACCAAGGAGUCCACCAUUAGUGCAAGUAUUUGGGUGACAAACCCAUAUGCGCAAGGAAACUGAUUGAUACGAAGGCGCAAGCUGGCAGUAUCACCCGGCGUUGACGUUUUAUACUGAACUGACCGAGGUAAAGCACUAAUGAUGGGACCCGAAAGAUGGUGAACUAUGCCUGAAUAGGGUGAAGCCGGAGGAAACUCCGGUGGAGGCUCGUAGCGAUUCUGACGUGCAAAUCGAUCGUCAAAUUUGGGUAUAGGGGCGAAAGACUAAUCGACC
rnacentral:rRNA from 1 species